GAGAAGUCUUCAUAAAUUUUAAACAGAUGGUGUCCACUUGGCCUGGAAUGGCUUGGACAGAAGGGCUGAGAAGAGCUGCCCCCUAUCAGUUCGUGGCGUUUCUUCAGGAGACCCUGGUGCUGCGCCUGCCUGCUUCCAGUAGAGCAAGGAGGAUCCACUCCCCUGUCCUAGCAAGAGAGUAGUUCUGGUGGCACAAGACAAGUGUGGUUUUCCUUUGGACUGUGAAAUGGGAGAUAAUUCUGCCAGCGGUUUACUUACAACUACUUAAAUAUCGGACCCACAAUUUUUAGUAUAAGUAGGAUUUGGCAUAUUCUUUCCAAAUAUGUCAGUGAUCUUUUCCAAAUCACUAACAAGAU
rnacentral:lncRNA from 1 species